rnacentral:lncRNA from 1 species
CCCCGCCCCCUCCGGCACCCCCCGCGGGCGGGCCACCCGGGCCACCGCCAGCGCAGGCAUCAGACAGCGCACGCGGGCGGAGGGCACGACGCAAGCUGGGACCCUGGGGAUGCCGGCCCGGGUUCUUUUAAGACGGUCUCUGGCCGCAGGCGACAGCAGCCUCGCCCGCCAUUAGCCCGCCUCUCUCUGGACACCAGCGGCCAGGGCGCGGGGCGUUGAGCUCUGGGACGCGCCCAACUUGGAAAGCGUCUGGCUCGCCCCGGCGCGCUACUUCUCCGGCGGGCGCCGGGCGCACGGACACAUACUGCCCCCACCCCUCCGCGCCUGCGAGUUGCGGCUCACCCUCCCCUGUGCAGAGCUGUCGCCUGGCUUUCCGUGGGAGCCUUCCAGCAGAUCCUGGGCUGGAAAGGACAAGGAGCCGUGGGGAGGGAAGUUAGGGCUUCCGCUUUCUCUCCCCACUCCAGCGGCGGCGUUCUGUCCUCUGGGUGGGAUGUGCUCGCAGAAGAGGUGGCGGCGGCAGCAGCGGAGGCGCCGAAGCCAUGCACCCGCAGCCGGAGACAAGACGAUGGCCAAGGAGGAAGAGACCGGGUGCACCAGCCGGGUGAAGUCCCAGGGCCGCAGAGCCGCGCCUGGAAUCUGUCCUGGAGACGCCUUCUCCUCCACCUCGGACACUUUAAGCAGCGGUGGCGGCAAACGGCGUGGGCUUGCAGACCCGACAGCGGGCUUCUCUCGUUCCGACGUUGCUCUGACCUCCGGAGAUGACAAGCGAGCAAGAAGUGUCCAGCCGGGCCAUCCCCUUCAGGCUUCAUGGGAGAAGGAGCUGGAGGGACGCUGCCUCCCAUAAUUGAUUACAGGUGGAGCUGUGCCUGUUUAUCAAGCAAAGGAGAGACAUAGGGGACAGCAGCUGAGAAGAUCCCAGGCAUGGACAACCUUCUUCCUAAGGGUAGCAAGAAGUAACAUUUGGUGCUCCACAAAUUACUGUAUGAAUGAAUGAAAGAAUAAAGAUUCCACGAUGUGUGAAUGGCCUGGACA